rfam:Myotis davidii contig212925, whole genome shotgun sequence.
GAGACACCCUUAUGGGGCAGGACUUGCUUCAGUGGGGCUUUGGUGCUCACUGAGUCUGCUCCUUGAGUGUGUCUCU